GCUCUACCACCUACUCCACUAGCCACACUUGCUCCACCACCUACUCCAUCAGCCACACUUGCUCUACCACCACUUGUACCUACAAAUGAAGACAUAAACAAUAAAAAAUAUUUGGUAAAUGGCUAUAUAAGCCUUCUCAUAUUUUGUAUUUAGGGGAGGAAGAAGUUUUGGGGGAGAAAGUUAUUGUAAAGGAUUUUUGAGAGGUUUUUUUUAGAGUAAUCAAGGAGAAGAGUUAUUGUAAAGGCUAGUUUUUGGAGAGGCUAGUUUUUUUUUUUUGAGAUUAAUCAAAUAUCAAAGCAAAAGAGGUUUAUUGGUCUAUUCUCGUUUUAAGUUCUUUGUUUGCUUAUUGUUUUCCUUUCAGUUUUAUUUUGUUUCUUUUAUACGAAAGUAAAAAUAAAAGGAGGAAGCUUUCCCUUUUUUAUCAAAAAAGUUUUUUUGAGGUCCGGCUGCCGUGUACGGUGGCACCGACGGUGGCCGGCUGCGGUCCGGUGACCGGACGGUGGUCGGCCUUGUGGCUGGAAAUCACCCACUCUCUCCCUCUUUUUUUGUUAUUAUUAUAUUUUUUAAUAUUACAUUAUAUAUAUUCUUUUAAUAUAUUAGGUAUAUUCUAAAUUCUAUAUUACGUAUAUAUAUUAUACUAUUUUAUGUAUAUAUCUUUAAUACUAUAUUAUUUAUAUAUAUAUUUUUUUUUCUACAUGUUAUCUUAUGUAUAUAUUUUAAUUAUAUUAUGUAUGUAUUUUUUACACUAUAUUAUGUACAUAUUUUUUUUAUAUCUAUUUCAUACAUAUGUAUAUAUUAUAUAUAUGUUAACAUUACUAGUUAUAUUUUCACUAUUUUAUGUAUAUACUUCAAACACUAUAUAUAGUAUAUUUCUAACACUAUUACUAUUUAUAAAUAUAUAUAUUUUACGUACAUACUCUUAAUAUCUUUAUUAUGUAUAUAUUCGUUGUUUUUAUUUCACAUUGGAUACUAUUAUUACGUUUAAUAUAUCGCAUGCAUUGUUAUUGUUUUAAUAUUGUUGUCAUAUUUAUUAUUUGUUUCAAUGUAUUUCCAACUAGUUUAUUUUUGUCUCCCGCUUAUUUUAUAUCAUUCUGUUGUUCAUUACUUUAAAGAUUUUUAUUUAUUUUUUUACUAAUUUCAAUAAAUAAGGCAAUAUUUCGCAUUUUGGAACAUCGAAGAAUUGUGUCCUAACUUACGGGUUUCGAUUCUCUUGUUGGUUCUAAAUAGCUAAAUAUCCUUUUGAGUUUUGAAAUGCACGGAUUUUCAAUUUAAAUUAAAAGCCGACCUUGUGCUCGGGAAUUCAUGGUAUUGUGUCCUAACUUACGGGAUGUGAUACUCCGAUAUCUUGAGAUAAGGAAAUCUUUAAACAAAUCAAUUUAAGCUAAUUCAAGAAUUUUAAAAUCAGUAUUAAUAGAAAAGAUCGUAUUUCAAGUUCCUUCCCGAUUUUUAAUUUUCGACAUUAAGACACUAACUAAUCAAUUCGGUACCAAUUUUUUGGGCGUGUCGAGGGUGCUAAUCCUUCCUCGUACGUAACCGACUUCUGAACUCAUUCUCUCAAGUUUCGUAGACCAAAGUCCCUGUUUUAGUAAACUAAAAUUGAUUUAUUAAAACAAAGGUGAUCCGAUCACACCUGAUAAAAGAUUGGUGGCGACUCCUGUUUUAAUUUUCACUUUCAAACAAAGUCGAUCCCCGUUUUCAAAAGAAUGGUUUCGACAGCUUGGCGACUCUACUGGGGAAUUCGAGAGUCGAGCCUUAAAUUGAUUAUUUUUUUUGUCUUUUGUCAAAAAUCGAAAAUCGAUUUUAAAUUUACUGCAUUGCAUGUUGUCUGUUAUUUUCGCGACUCUCUUCAUAAUAUGCUUGCUUUAAGUGGUUUAAUUCUUAAGUGGAAGUGAAAAACUACUCCUUCGUGAGGUCUUCACCUCCGUAUAGGAUAGUGGAUCGCUUUCGGGAUACAUCCGUACCUGCGUCUUCGUGGGAUUUUCACCUCCAUAUAGCCGUAGGGAAAUGUAUUCCCCUGAAUCGAACUCGGUCUGUAUGAACCUAUGAUGGGUGAGGAUCGAGGAAUCUGUUGGUUCAGGUACCUUUACUUUAGAACCAAACUACAUGUAAUGAGCCCUAGGAGCCUACCCUAGGUAGAACCACACCAAACCCUAGUGGUUACCUGAUUAGGUGCUUAUUUACUCACUAUUUGCUUUGAAUUCUAUUCUUUAUAUAUAAUACUAACUUGUUGUAUUUUGAUCAUUUUCGCAUGACAUUUCAUCAUAAAAGGGUGUUGAUUUAUGUUCGGUUACUAAUUAGAAGAGUUUAGCAUGGAAAAAGGAUUUCUUGAUAGAAUGGAGGAUAAUGCGGCCGUCCGAGUGUGGUCUGAGAGAAUGCAACAGGAGAAAGGAGAUAGUUUGACUGAGGGAUAUGAAUCGGAGUUGUGGGAUUUCACUCGCAUCAGUGUGACUCAGAACAACCUGCAAGAGUUAAGGGAUAUAUGGAAUAGUUGGAAUGGCGAAGUCAAACAACUCUUUUACUGUAACUACGGCGACCUACCCUAUUUGCUCGAUGUAAAGGUGGGUAAGUACUUGUUCUGGGCCCUCGCACAAUUUUGGAACCCCGCUUACAGUUGCUUCACUUUCGGAGGAGUUGAUUUAGUACCUACGGUGGAGGAAUACAUGGCGUUACUUAAUUGCCCGAAGAUUCAGGCUGAUAGGGCCUAUUCAAGACCUGUUAAUGUCCCUCCCUUUUUGAAGAAAUUGAUGAAUAUCAUGGGGAUGAGCGAGCAAUGGGUUGCGGCCCGCAUCAAGCAAAAAGGGGAUAGUAAAUGUAUUCCUUGGAGGAAUUUGAGGGAUUUUAUUCUUGCGCACCCGGAUUCGAAGAAAAAGGCUAAUGUUUUUGCCUUAAGUUUCUACGGUUUGAUCGUCUUUCCUAAAGCACUUGGACACAUAGAUGAAGCCGUCUCAGAUUUAUUCGAUCGACUUGAUAAUGGUACCACACCUGUCCCGGCAAUCCUAGCAGAAACUUUCCGAUCCUUGAAUACAUGCCGGAGAGCGGGCGAGGGAAGAUUUAUUGGUUGCGCACAACUUCUUUUGACUUGGUUCCACAGUCAUUUUUAGAAGGUGGAGAAGGUCUCCUAUCGGGUAUUCUCUAAGGAUUAUUCCCCAUUAAGAGAAUUAGUGGCCACAUCGAGGCGGGACGACAUCUCCGAAGAGAGGUGGAUAACUAUUCUUCAAAAUUUACGGACCGAAGACGUUGAAUGGAGGGCUCCGUGGUUGAUUCCUGACGAGAUCUUAUAUAGGUGCGGUGAUCUUGACUGGGUCCCUCUGGCUGGAAUAUGGGGAGCCAUUGGAUACGCUCCACUGAUGGUGUUAAGGCAGUAUCAAUCAAGGCAGUUUAUACCGGUGACACAAGGGUUGGCACAAUGUGAGUUCCCCUAUAAAGACAACAAUUAUAAAAAGAGGGUUCACGAGAUAUCAGAUGCAUGGAACCAAACUCGAAGAAUGAAAGGAUUCACUGCAGGCCCGAUGACGACCCCCGAGUAUGAAUGGUGGUGGGGUAGGAGAGUCAACGACAACAUCCCUAGACAGAAUCAAGGGAACACACAAUCGAUAGAGGAGCAUUUACGGGUCAUCCCAUCCGAGUUAGAGAUCAUUAAGCAAGAUUUUGAGAAAAGAAUCUCGGAGUUGGGGAAGAAGAUAGAGCAGCUAGAAGAAGAUAAAAUGAAGUUGGGGUUAGACAUCGAUAUCCACAAGCUAGAGGCCGAGAAGUUAAGGAAAGGAAAGAACAAGGCCGAGGAAGAUUUAGAUAGUCUAAAAAUCUAUUAUAAAAAGCUUCGUAUAACAAUAAAAACUGCCGGAUUAGGUAAAACAUCAGAGCAAUGGCGUCAAGAGAUUAAAAAGGAAAAGACUCGAGCCGACCAUUGGGAGAAAAGAUUUCAAGAUGCCCGAGUACGAGAGGAUACUCUGAAGAAGAGUUUGUUAGAAACCCAAAACGAAAAGGAGAAGUUACGAGCUCGGGUGGCUGAAUUGGAAAGAUUACUUCAGCAACAUCAUAGCCAUAAUUCGAUAAUUAAGCUAAAGGCUAGUCUGAGCAGAAUCGAAGAGUUGAAAGGGAAAAUAGAAGAACUCGAGACCGCACUGCGAGAUAGCAAAAUUCGAGUGGAACUUCUUGAGACAAACAACGACCAUUACAGAGAACAGCUUCACCACUCUCAGAACCAUAUUAGAGAUAGAGACUAUGUCAUGGGCGAAGCUAUAGCUCAGGUUCGGGAGAUAGCUGAUCACUUGCAAAGCUUGGCAGCUCAGGCUGAUAUAUUGAGCUUAAAGUACGAGUCGGAAUCAGACCGAGGCCGAACCUUAGCUUGGCUUCUUAGGAAAGUUAAGACUUUGGGCAUUAGGGCGAAGUCGUAUAUGUAAUCAUCCGUUUUAUGUAAAGAAAUUUUUCUUCUAGUGAAGUUCUUCUAAUGAAAUUGAAUUGGAAUCAACGCCUCUUUUUGCAUCCAUUCAUCCAUUCAUUGCAUAUACAUAUCCCAUAAUCAUUCGCUAAGGUUCGAAUCAUAUAAUUCACAGUUGCAACACUUCAAAUCUGGAACCACGCCAUUCGUAUAAAACGCGUCGACAAGCUAGAGCAAUGGAGGCUGAGUUCAAUGAAAGAAUCGAAAGGAUGGAAAGAGUCCAGAAGGAAUUACAAGAACAACUGGCUAAGUCACAGCAAGAAAUGAGGGAUUUGAUAGUAAGAUCUCGAGAGGAAUCACUUGAACAAACGGAUCAAAUGGCUAGAAUGAUGGAGAUGAUAUCAGUUUUGGUCAAAGGAAAAGGACCCAUGCAGAGCCCCGACAGUAUGGAACCUCAAUCAAGAAUUAAUCAUGACUAGGAUCCACUCUAUCCCCCAGGAUUCACUCCACCACAUGCCCACGUAGCACAAAGAGGGUAUACUUAAGGGGAAUUCACAGGCUUGGAACAACGACCUAUGCCAUUUGCUCAUCUAGGGCAAGGAACAUUUAUGUCAAAUCCCGGACCAACCCCUGCCAAUCCUGUAGUUCCAAAUUUAGAUGAUCCAGUCGAAAUAGUCAAGUUGAAAAUAGAUGAUCACGAGGCUCAAGAGAAGUAUAGGAAUUUAGAAGAAAGACUCAAGGCAAUAAAAGGCACUGAAGUCUUCUCGGUACUAGGUGCGAAAGAACUCAGUUUAGUACCUGACCUAAUCCUGCCUCCGAAGUUCAAGGUGCCUGAUUUCGAAAAGUACGAUGGGACAAGAUGUCCAAAAGCACAUCUUGUCAUGUUUUGCCGAAAAAUGACCGGUUACGUGAACGAAGAUAACCUACUUGUACAUUGUUUUCAAGACAGUCUAGUAGGAUCGGCUCUUCAGUGGUACAACCAGCUCAGUAAGGAAAGGAUCCGAUCUUGGAAAGACUUGGCGUCGGCAUUCUGUGAGCAGUACAAGCAUGUAUUAGAUAUGGUGCCUGAUCGGAUGACUUUACAAAUGAUGGAGAAAAAGUCGUCAGAAACUUUUAGACAGUACGUGCAGAUAUGAAGGGACGUCUCAGCCCAAGUGGAACCCCGACUAAUGAAAACAGAGAUAACCGUUUUUUUUAUCAACACCUUAAAGAUGCCGUUUUAUGACAAACUAGUGGGAAGCGCCACGAAGGAUUUCGCGGAUAUUGUAAUAUCCGGUGAGCUUAUAGAGAACACCGUCAAGAGUGGUAGAAUGGAAGGUCAAGAAAGUUCAAAAAGGGUAGCACCCAUGAAGAAGAAAGAACCAAAAGCCCACAUGGUGGGAAUAGGAAGCCGUUAUGCCCCUAAUCCAUAUCCAAACCAACCCCGACCUCGAAGUUAUCCACCUCCAAAUUUCUAUUAUCCCCCUCAAACCCCUUACUACCAAGCACCACCUCCUUCCUACCCCCUAUACGCCACAAACAACCAAAGACCCGUCACCACAUUCCCACAAAACACAGUACUCGCUCAAAGCCAGCCCAGAAAUGAACCAAGACCAGCAAGGCCUAAUCCUGAGAAACCGCAAUUUACUCCUAUCCCUGUGUCGUAUGGGGAAUUGUACCCAAAACUUCUGGAGAAACAGCUGAUUUCUCCCCAUUACAUAGCACCACUUAAACCUCCAUACCCAAAGUGGUACGAUCCAAACGCUAGUUGUGCAUACCACGCAGGGAACCAGGGGCAUUCCACGGAGAAUUUUCUAGCCUGUAAAAGAAGAGUUCAAGGACUCAUUGACGCGGGUAUCCUACGGUUCGAUAGUGCCAGUAACACAACUGGGAACCCGUUCCCUAACCAUGCUGAAGGGAAUGUGAGUAUAGUGGGGAAAGAGGACGAAUGGAAAGUCAGAAGAUGUGUUUCAGAAAUAAGGAUGCCUCUGCAGAAAAUCUGAGAGGUACUGGUUAAGAAAUGAUUACUUUGUCACCCCGAUAGAAUUCUCGGAGAAGAAGGUCAAAGUUUUUGCAAUUUCCAUGGAAUUUUAGGAUACGACAUUCAGUCGUGUGAGGAAUUUAAAAGGUUACUUCAAGACCGGAUGGAUAAUAAGGAGAUUAAGGUCCUUAACAAGAGGGAAGAGACCAAUGAAAGAGAAGUAAGCACCUCUGACAACCAAUCAUCAGGUCUCCUUUAUAGCGUGGAUCGACCGUUAGUAAUUUAUUACGACGUGACGAAAGAGCCGGUGAAACCAAAAAUGAUAAUCGAAAUACCGUCUCCUUUUCCAUACAAGGACGACAAAGCCAUACCAUGGAAAUAUGACAUCAAUAUCGUCACACCGGAAGAUAAAAAGCUCAAAGCCAUAACUGGAGAUAUUGGAGAGGUAGGGCGUUUUACCCGAAGUGGAAAAUGUUAUUCGAAAGAGGUCGAACCAGUGAAGAAGAACAGUGACUAGAAGCAAAAAGGGAAAGCAGUGAUGCAUGAGGCCGAAGUUGAGUAAGAAAUUUCACCCGUGCAAGAAACUAAAAAUCCUGUGGAUGAGGAGGAAGCACAUGAGUUCUUGAAAUUUAUCAAACACAGUGAAUACAAUGUGGUGGAACAAUUGAAUAAGCAACCAGCACGAAUCUCGAUUUUAUCUCUGCUACUAAAUUCGGAGCCACACUGGAACGCUUUGCUGAAGGUGUUGAAUCAAGCUUACGUGGCAAACAAUAUAUCCAUGGAGAAGCUGGACAGAUGGGUGAACAACUUGAAUACGGAUAAUUUCAUUUCUUUUAGUGAUGACGAAAUACCACCCAAUGGUAGAGGCUCCGUAAAAGCACUACAUGUUACGACUCGUUGCAAGGGCUACAUAAUACCUAAUGUGCUUAUUGAUAAUGGCUCGGCACUCAAUGUCAUGCCUUUGGCCACGCUUUCCAGAAUUCCAAUAGAUCUGUCCUAUUUAAGGCCCUGUCAUUCCACAGUAAGGGCAUUCGAUGGGUCAAGGCGUGAAGUUGUAGGAAAGAUUGAUAUCCCUUUAGAAGUGGGCCCUUACAUUUACAAUGUCGAGUUCCAAGUCAUGGACAUCACACCCUUGUAUAACUGCCUUCUGGGAAGGCCCUGGAUCCAUUCUGCUGGAGCAGUUCCAUCCUCUUUCCAUCAAAAAGUAAAGUUUAUCAUGGAUGGUUGUUUGGUCACUGUCGAGGGAGAAGAAGACAUUAUCACAUCUAUCUCUGCUGAUGCGCCAUAUCUUGAAGUAAGCAAAGACGCAGUGGAAUGUUCCUUCCGAUCCCUUGAAUUUGUCAAUACCACUUUUGUCGCUGAGGGAAAUAGAAUUUCGGUGCCAAAACUAUCGAGAAAUACCAGAAUGGGUGUCAAGUUGACUAUAGGAAGGGGAGCUCAAGCGAGAAGAGGUUUAGGGAGAUAUCUGCAAGGAAUAGUCAAGGCUCUAAAGCCAGUACACCACAAGGCUCGAUACGGUUUAGGGUUCCAGCCGGACAUGCGUCAAAGAAGAAAGUAGUGAAAGAAAGAUCAAGAAAGAAGGAUCGCGAGAACAUUAGGCCGAGAACCAGAAUGGGAGCCCAUGGAAUUCCCUCAUUUGUUAAGAACAUUUACGUCUGCCGGAAUGAUAUACCCAGGGCAGUAUAGUGCACAAAGCACAAUGUUAAUGAUCGAAGAGGGUUUUUAGAAUAUCAGUAUAAAUGUCAUUGACAAAGGAGCUGACGCGAAUAAAGACGUCUCAAAGAUACGCCCUUGUCCUCCGGGUUUCAUUUUGAACAAUUGGGCUGCCGAGGAUCUUCUUAUAGUUUAUAAGUCUUCAGAGUAAUGCUCAAACAUUAACAUUCUAUUAUGUCCUUAGAUAUAAUAGAAUUCUUUUGUAAGAGCUUGCAUUCGCUCUUUAUCAUUUAAAUGAAUAUUAAUGAAGAUGCAUUUUGUCACGAUUUUUCGCAUUAUCACUAAUUCCAUAAUCAUUUCAUAGCCUAUCUUUACAUUUUCCUCAUGCCAUACCACAACAUUCAGUUUGUUGGUUUCAAUACUUGGAUGCCCCUCUAUAGUUUCCUUUUCCAUUCAACUUUCAGGUGCUCAGAUAUUAAUUGCAUGAACAAACCCGUUACGAGUCCUGAAAUCGAUUUUGAGAAGGCUGUUUGUUUAGGAGAAUUUGAAGUCGAAGAAAAUGCUGAAGACUAUGUCUCGUCUCCUGACUUGCUAAGAAUGGUGGAACAAGAGGAUAAACAGAUUUUACCUCAUCAAGAAUUUGUUGAAACAAUAAACUUGGGAGCUGAAGAAAGGAAGCAAGAAGUGAAGAUUGGGACCUCUAUUUUAGGGGGCACCAGACAUAAUUUGAUAGCUUUACUCCGUGAGUACAAAGAUGUAUUCGCAUGGUCAUAUCAGGAUAUGCCAGGAUUGGAUGAAGAUGUAGUGGUCCAUAAGCUCCCAUUGAAGCCAGAAUGCAAACCCAUUCAACAAAAGCUAGGACGGAUGAGACCUGAGAUGUUGUUGAAAAUAAAAGAGUGAUGCUGGCUUCCUACAAACCUCCAAAUAUCCAGAGUGGGUGGCCAACAUAGUUUCGGUACCAAAGAAAGACGGCAAAGUACGAAUGUGCAUGGAUUAUCGUGACCUGAAUCGAGCAAGUCCCAAAGAUAAUUUUCCCUUACCACACAUUGAUACGUUGCUGGAUAACACAGCAAAACAUUCAUUGUUUUCUUUCAUGGAUGAAUUCUUGGGGUAUAAUCAGAUCAAAAUGGCCCCUGAGGAUAUAGAGAAAACUACAUUCGUAACAAUGUGGGGAACAUUCUGCUACAAGGUGAUGCCAUUUGGGUUAAAGAAUGCUGGGGCAACAUAUCAGAGGGCUAUGGUGACGUUAUUCCAUGACAUGAUGCAUAAAGAAAUAGAGGUCUAUGUCGACGAUAUGAUUGCUAAAUCCCGAGGGGAAGACGAGCAUGUAGUGAACCUGAAGAAGUUGUUCGACAGACUGAGAAAGUUCCAGCUAAAGUUCAAUCCGGCCAAAUGUACGUUUGGGGCUACCUCAGAAAAAUUGCUUGGCUUCAUUGUCAGCGAAAGAGGCAUUGAAGUUGAUCUAGAUAAAAUAAAAACCAUUCAAGAGUUACCACCUUCGCGCACGGAAAAGGAAGUCAGAGGAUUUUUAGGGAGAUUAAACUACAUCGCCUGAUUUAUCGCUCAACUUACCAACCAAUGUGACUCAAUCUUUCGACUCCUUCGAAAACAUAAUCCCGGAGAAUGGAACGAGGAGUGCCAAGUGGCUUUUAACAAGAUAAAGCAGUAUUUGUCUAGUCCUCCAGUGCUAGUACCACCAAUGCCGGGAAGACCAUUGAUAUUGUAUUUGACUGUGUUCGAGAAUUCAAUGGGUUGCGUACUGGGGCAACAUGACGAGUCCGGAAAGAAAGAAAGAAAAGGCGAUCUACUACCUCAGCAAAAAGUUCACUGAAUAUGAGGCAAAGUAUUCGUCCAUAGAAAAAUACUGUUGCGCUCUGGUUUGGGUAGCUCGAAGACUCAGGCAAUAUAUGCUGUAUCAUACGACAUGGCUAAUUUCAAAGUUGGACCUAAUAAAGUACAUGAUGGAAUCACCUGCACUCUCAGGAAGAAUGGCACAAUGGCAGAUCUUACUAUCAGAAUAUGAUAUCGUCUAUGUGAGCCAAAAGUUGAUAAAAGGGAGCGCAAUAGCUGACUUCUUAGCAACUCGAACAACGGAGGAAUACGAGCCAUUGAGAUUUGAUUUCCCAGAUGAAGACUUGAUGUGCAUUACAGAAAAAGAAUGUGAGUCAUCAAAAGAAAAGUCAUGGAAGAUGAGCUUUGAUGGUGCAUCGAAUGCAUUGGGGCAUGGGAUUGGAGCAGUCUUAGUAUCACCAGAAGGAAACCAUUACCCACUCACUGCCAGGCUGAACUUUUUCUGUACCAAUAACAUAGUAGAAUAUGAGGCUUGUAUCAUGGGACUUCGUGCAACAAUUGGACGAAACAUCAAAACUUUAGAGGUAUACGGAGACUCAGCCUUGGUGAUAUACCAAAUCCGUGGAGAUUGGGAAGUGAGAGAUCUGAAACUGGUCAAAUACAGUGAUCUAGUGGCAGAGCUGAUUAAAAAUUCGAAGAAAUAACUUUUAAUUACCUCCCACGAGAAGAAAACCAAUUGGCUGAUGACCUGGCCACUUUGGCUUCAAUGUUCAAAGUAAACAGAGAAACAGAAAUAAUGCCUCUUCAAAUGAGCAUAUAUGAAGUCCCUGUACAUUGUUUCAGCAUUGAAAAAGAGCCAGAUGGACGGCCAUAGUUCUAUGAUAUCUUAGAAUAUGUCAAGAACCAAAAGUAUCCCGAACAAGCAAAUGAGAAUGACAAACGAACAAUCAGAAGAAUGGCAGCGGGAUUUGUUCUUGAUGGGAACAUCCUAUACAAAAGAGGAAAAGAUCAAGUACUCUUGAGAUGCGUAGAUGCUGUUGAAGCCAGAAAAAUACUUGAAGAUGUCCACGAGGGAAUUUGUGGGACACAUGCCAAUGGUUUCACUAUGGCCAGGAAGAUUAUGAGACUCGGUUACUACUGGCUGACGAUGGAAAGCGACUGCAUUAGUUUUGCAAGAAAAUGCCACAAAUGUCAAAUUUAUGGCGAUAAGAUUCAUGUAGCCCCUUCGCCCCUUCAUGUCAUGACUUCUCCGUGACCCUUUUCUAUGUGGGGCAUGGAUGUUAUAGGGCCAAUUUCCCCAAAAGCUUCUAAUGGACACCAGUUCAUUUUUGUGGUUAUUGAUUACUUCACAAAAUGGAUAGAAGCUGCUUCGUUUGCCAAUGUGACAAAGACUGCAGUUUACAGAUUUUUGAAAAAGGAAAUCAUUUGUCGAUAUGGUUUGCCUGAGAGAAUCAUUUCAGAUAACGCCUUGAAUUUGAGCAACAAAAUGAUGAAGGAAGUGUGUGAGUAGUUUCAAAUAAAGCAUCAUAACUCGUCACCCUAUCGCCCAAAAAUGAACGGAGCUGUUGAAGCAGCCAACAAGAAUAUUAAGAAGAUUAUUGGGAAAAUGACUAAGACAUAAAAAGAUUGGCACGAGAAGCUACCAUUUGCUUUGUAUGCAUAUCGCACAUCUGUACGGACAUCUACGGGGCAACUCCUUUCUCUCUGGUCUAUGGAAUAGAAGCUGUGCUACCUAUCGAAGUUGAGAUCCCCUCUUUACGAGUCUUAAUGGAUUCGAAACUAGAGGAGGCAGAAUGGGUUCGAGCUCGAUAUGACCAGUUAAACCUCAUCGAAGAAAAAUGUUUAAAGGAAAUUUGUCACGGACAGAUGUACCAGAAGAGAAUGAUCGCGGUCCAUGACAAGAAAAUACGGCCAAGAGAAUUCCACGAAGGAGAACUCGUGCUAAGAAAGAUUCUUCCAAUAUAGAAGGACUUACGAGGAAAAUGGGCACCAAAUUGGAAAAGACCAUAUGUUGUAAAGAAGUCAUUCUCGGGCGAAGCUUUGAUUCUCACUGAGAUGGAUGAGAAGGAGUUACCGAAUCUAGUGAAUUCAGAUGCUGUGAAGAAAUAUUAUGCUUAAAAAAGGAAAAUCAAGAUGAAAACCCGAAAAAGGGCAUCUUUAAAAAAAAGAGAAAAGAAAAGAAAAAAGAAAAAGAGAGAGGGAUUAAGGUGAAAACCCAAGAAGGGCAUCUUGAUUAACACAAAAGAUUAGGAUGAAAACCCUAAAGGGCGUUCUAAUAAAGCAAGCACUGGCUUAAAAAGUAAGGCGUUUUGAACGGUGGGUCAAACAGAGAGACUACAAUAUUUGAAGCAUUUCUGAAAACUCAAAAUCUCUUACGCAAGAAAGCCAUGCUCGAAAAGAUUCUUGAUUGAGGAACAUGGAAGAGUUCAUGCGUUGAAUAUCUAGAGCAUUUGUAUUUGUUGAAAUGCGAUCCCCUUUCUCUUUAUGACACUUUUUUUUACUAUCAUUGAUUAACUUUCUUUGUUUGCUACAUUUGAAAUGAAUAAAUGUGAUGUGUCCUUUUGUCCCUACCGGACCAUUUUCAUGCAUCUCAUUAUGUGGUUCAUUUACAUGAUAAAUAGUGAAAUGACACACUCUAAACAAAAGAAGUGCUAAGCAUUACCCAGACAAGAAUUUGAUAAGUACAAGAGCCUCAAAGUAAGGACAAAGUUUAACCAGGAGCAAAAAAGUGAUAUCUGAGAAACGCAGAUUAGUCGUGAAGCUAGAGGAUGGGUACAGGGCCUGAAGAGAAAGUCAAGAGUCAAAGCAAUGAACGCAGAUCAUCAAAAAUCAUGACGAAAAGGGACAUAUGACAAGCAAGCCCAAGGCACAUAGCAUGAUCAUGUAGGCAUAAAGGCAUUUAAGGCAAACAUGUGCACAUCAUGCAUGAUAUAUACAUGUAUUUCAGCAGAACAAGAGAUUUCGAUGAUAGCUGUACUGAAUCAAAGGAAAGGACACCUGAGUUCCACCAGAUGACAUCUUUUGGUAUUUUGAUGUUUUUAUUUCUAUCUUUCAAAAAAAUCAACUCAUAUUGCGAGAGGUGAGUUGGGCCUCAGGUCACACGCUCAGGUAUUUUCAAUUUUCGUUUUUUCAAUUUAUGCUUUUCAAAAAUCAACUCAUAUUGCGAGAGGUGAGCUGAGCCUCGGGGCACGCUGAGGUAUUUUUAAUUUCUGUUUUUCAAUUUCUGCUUUUAAUUUUUGUUUUUCAAAAAUCAACUCAUAUUGCGAGAGGUGAGUUGAGCCUCAGGGCACGCUGAGGUAUUUUCAAUUUCUAUUUUUCAAUUUUUGCCUUACAAAUUCUACUUUUCAAAUCAACUCAUAUUGCGAGAGGUGAGUUGAGCCUCAGGACACGCUGAGGUAUUUUCAAUUUCUGUUUUUCAAUUUUUGCCUUACAAAUUCUACUUUUCAAAUCAACUCAUAUUGCGAGAGGUGAGUUGAGCCUCAGGACACGCUGAGGUAAUUUCAAUUUUUGUUUGUCAAAACUCAACUCAUAUUGCAAGAGGUGAGUUGAGCCUCAAGACACGUUGAGGUAUUUUCAAUUUCUGUUUUUCAAAAAAAUCAACUCAUAUUGCGAUAGAUGAGUUGAGCCUCAGGACAUGCUGAGGUAAUUUCAAUUUUUGUUUGUCAAAAAUCAACUCAUAUUGCGAGAGGUGAGUUGAGCCUCAAGACACGUUGAGGUAUUUUCAAUUUCUGUCUUUAAAAAAAAUCAGCUCAUAUUGCGAGAGGUGAGUUGAACCUCAAGACACGUUGAGAUAUUUUCAAUUUCUUUUUUUCAAAAAAAUUUACUCAUAUUGCGAUAGGUGAGUUGAACCUCAAGACGCUGAGAUAAUGUCAAUUUUUGUUUGUCAAAACUCAACUCAUAUUGCAAGAGGUGAGUUGAGCCUCAAGACACGUUGAGGUAUUUUCAAAAAAAUCAACUCAUAUUGUGAUAGAUGAGUUGAGCCUCAGGACAUGCUGAGGCAAUUUCAAUUUUUGUUUGUCAAAAAUCAACUCAUAUUGCGAGAGGUGAGUUGAGCCUCAAGACACGUUGAGGUAUUUUCAAUUUCUGUCUUUAAAAAAAAUCAACUCAUAUUGCGAGAGGUGAGUUGAACCUCAAGACACGUUGAGGUAUUUUCAAUUUCUGUUUUUCAAAAAAAUCAACUCAUAUUGCGAUAGGUAAGUUGAACCUCAAGUCGCUGAGGUAAUUUCAAUUUUUGUUUGUCAAAAAAUCAACUCAUAUUACGAAAGGUGAGUUGAGCCUCAAGACACGUUGAGGUAUUUUCAAUUUCUGUCUUUCAAAAAAAAUCAGCUCAUAUUGCGAGAGGUGAGUUGAACCUCAAGACGCUGAGGUGUUUUCCAUUUUUGUUCUUCAAUUUUUGUGUUUCAAAAAAAUCAGCUCAUAUUGCGAGUGGUGAGUUGAGCCUUGACUCACGCUGAGGUAUUUUCAAAUUCUAUUUUUCAAAUUUUGUUUUUCCAAAAAAAUCAACUCAUAUUGCGAGAGGUGAGUUCAGCCUCAAGACACGCUGAGAUAUUUUCAAUUUCUUUUUUUUUUCAAUUUAUGUUUGUCAAAAAAAUCAACUCAUAUUGCGAGAGGUGAGUUGAGCCUCAGAUCACACGCCGAGGUAUUUUCAAUUGAUUUUUAUUUUUAUUUUUUUUCAAUUUAUGCUUUGCAAAAAUCAACUCAUAUUACGAGAGGUGAGUUGAGCCUCGGGUCACAUACCGAGGUAUUUUCAAAAUAUGUUUUACAAAUUUUGUUUUAAAAAUCAACUCAUAUUGCGAGAAGUGAGUUGAGCCUUGGCUCACGUGCUGAGCUAUUUUCAGUUUCUGUUUUUAAUGUUUAGUUUUCAAGAGUCAAUUCAUAUUGCGAGAAAUGAGUUAAGCUCAGGAUCACAUGCCGAGUAAAGAAUAAAGACUGGAAUUAAUCGAAGACACAGAUUUUAUAUCCCUGAAGUUACAGUGAAGAUAAUUGAAGUUGCAGUGGAGUUGAUCGAUGAUAUCAGAUCUUACCUUUCUAAAAGUUGCAGAAGAGAAGACCACAAAUUUUAUCUGACUAAAGCAAUGGAAGAGCAGAUUGAAGCUGCAGAUCUUAUCUUUUUGAAGUCACCUUGGAGUAAAUCGAAGCUACAAGGCAUAUAUCAGAAGAUGCAGUGGAUUUGAUCAAGACAACAAGAUACAGUGGUUUGGAAAGAGACUACCUGGAUGAGAAGAGCACCAAAGAAGUCCAUACUUAGUAAGACCGGGCAAAAUUGGUCUUUCUUUGUGUCUUUGCUUUAUUCCCGUUACACGAUAAUAAGCAAAGAGGGGCAGCUGUUGUAGGCCAAUUUUAACCCAUUUACAUCAAAACCCAAUUUAACCUUACCUAACCCACCAAAAUUAAACCCAAAAUCUUAACUACCCAAAGCCCAAUUUACAUUAAAAUAAAAAAAACCCUAGCCCACAACGUAAACUUUUCUCAACUAAAUCCUAGCCUUUGUCACCACCAACUCCACUAGCCACACUUGCUCCACCACCUACUCCACUAGCCACACUUGCUCCACCACCUACUCCAUUAGCCACACUUGCUCCACCACCUACUCCAUUAGCCACACUUGCUCCACCACCACUUGUACCUACAAAUGAAGACAUAAACAAUAAAAAAUAUUUGGUAAAUGGCUAUAUAAGCCUUCUCAUAUUUUGUAUUUAGGGGAGGAAGAAGUUUUGGGGGAGAAAGUUAUUGUAAAGGAUUUUUGAGAGGUUUUUUUUGAGUAAUCAAGGAGAAGAGUUAUUGUAAAGGCUAGUUUUUGGAGAGGCUAGUUUUUUUUUUGGAGAUUAAUCAAAUAUCAAAGCAAAAGAGGUUUCUUGGUCUAUUCUCGUUUUAAGUUCUUU
rnacentral:lncRNA from 1 species